UUUUAUAGUACUGUCUACAAUAAGAGAGAGAGAGAGAGAGAGAGAGAGAGAGAAGCAAUGUGCAUGUAGCCAAGGUAUCCUGCAGGACCACCGUGAGUGGCAGCCAGAACUGUAAUAACCUCACAGAGCUGGCUCUCAACUUGAUCAGCAAUUUCAGAGAGUAAAGGGCAGUGGGGUGUGGGAGGACAUGGAAAGACAGAACCAUUUAUAGCAACUAACCCCCCUAGAGGCUGGAAGAGAGCUCAAGCGGGGGUGAAAAAGGCCAGGCCUCACAGGAGCAGCAGCUUGGUCCCCUUUCCUGAGGACCUAGCAUAGCAACAGCAAGGGCACAGCAAGGGCACAACCGGGUUUGCAGACUGGCCCAGGUCUUCUGUAAAGAGACGGGGCCACACUGCCACCUGGAAGCCUGCUGGUCCCUGCAGGCUCUGCCACGGAACAGACUUUGGAACAGGCAUGGCGCCUUCUCAGCUCCCCUGGACUCUGCAGCUCCACCUAGGCGGGGCCUUUGAACAGGUCUGGGAGACCCGAGCUGCCGCGGGACCAGCAGCCCGACGUGCGGGAGCUCUGGAGCAGCCUGCUGCGGAGGAGGAGCUGGAGCCCCGCCUGAGCCUGUGCUGGCGCUGGAUCCCGAGCUGAAGGUGGAGCUGGACCGAGACCUGGCGCUGCUGCUUCCAUUGCAAGCCCCGCGUCUCUCCGAGCCUUACCCCUGCCCUGUCCUUCUUGCUUGACCCCUUAGUAGGUGGUCCCGUGGUCUUUCCAGUUAUCCCUAGGAGAAGGGGCCCUAGCGCUGAGCUUUUUCUUAUUUUCCCUGACUCUGGCAAGCUCUUCUUUUCACUCCUGAUAAAUGCAUUCUCCCCUUGAGGUGCUCAAAGCGGCAAUGGCGGCCUCACUUAACUGAAUUCUCAUUUCUAACGUGGGUCUGAGAAAUGAUCCCUAAUGGAUGGCAAUUUAAGCCAAAGAGAAGCGUCUCCCCCAGCCGCCACCUCCUCCUGCUCUCCUCAGUAGCUCCCUAGUAGUGUCUUUUUAAAAUGAAAUCGUUUUAAUUCAUUUGGUUUUCUCUAAUGGUUAACAUUUUUUUCUGUUUCAUUAAAAAAAAAAAAAAAAAGCCACUGCUCACCUCAACUAAGGUCCUGAGGACUUUUCCCUGUUUCAUUCUGUGAGCUUCGUAGCGUUAGGUUAGAUUAUAGCCCUAGAUUCAAUUUAGGCCUGUCAAGCUUUCCAACUGGUUUCUGUGUGUUCUGCAGGUUCCUGGGGAGGCUGUAACACAUGGCCCCUAACAGCAGACACCUACUCCCUGCAGUCCCAGAGGCCCAAAGCCUGGAUCAGGGUGUUGCCAGGGCCCUGCUCCCUCAGUCCUCCUGACCCCUCCGGCUCCUGGGCUGCGGGAGUUCUCUGACUUGUGGCAGCACAACUACAGGCUCCACUCUCUUCUUUCCAGGCUUCUCUGAGUCUCUCCUCUCUUGUCUGUGUCUCCUCCUCAGCUUGUAAAGACCCUUGUCAUGGGAUACACAGCCUCCCCCUGACCAUCUCAUUUGAAAGUCCUGAUUUUAUUACCUCUGCAAAGACCCUUUAUCCCAGCACCAGGUCUCUUUUGCUGGUACUGGAGCCCACGACUUAGAUUAGCCUUGGGGGAUCACAAUCCAACCUCUUACACACGUGAUGGGAGAGGAAGUUUGUAGGUCGUUAUUUUUAUAUUUGGAUAGUUAGUUAUUCUAUUGUUGUCUGUUCAAAAACCAUUCAUUCCCCAUUAAAUCAUCUCAGAAUCUUUUUGGGAAAUCAGAUGACCAUUUGUCUGUGGAUCUGUUUCUGAGUUCCCUCUUCAGUUCCUCUGGUCUGUCUGCCAACCUCCAUGCUGAUACCCCACUACCCUGAUUCCUGUAGCUUUAAUCAUCCUUUCAUCCCUGAGAUCAGGUAAUAUAGAUCCUUAGUUCUCCUACAAAAUCAUUUUGGAUAUUCUAGGUCACUUGAAUUCCCAUAUGCAUUUUACAAUCAGUUUGUUUAUUUCUACCAAAAAAAAAAAAAGCCUGCUGGGAUUU